UCAGCAAAUGGAGGCCCCAGGGACAGAAGAUCCUGUCCAACCUUUUCAGAAGGAUUGGAUAGACAUGGGCCUACUAGGGCCCCAUAAGACUGACUGAUCACCUCUGAACUCUGCCAAUAGAGAUGUCAAAAAGAGACGUUUAUGACUUCAAGUGAGGAAUAAACAGCAGGAGCAGUCCAUUGUCUUUUUCUUCGUUCUCGAAUGGUUGUUUUGUGCUGUUAAUCCGCGCUGCAUGACAAUACUACAGGAUUUCUCCAGAGAAAGGACCCGAUUCUUAGCCUGUCUAUGCAAGGAACUCCGCUGGAGACCAUGUUGAGUUGCACACGGCAGCCUGUAGCAUCAUGUUCAAGAUCUCUCCUGGUGCUGCUGACAACCGAUCCAGCACUAGUUUCAAUUUAAGAAACACUCAUUACUUUCCCUGUACUUUUCAAGAGGCUGCAGAGCUGACAGUCGCAUUUUCUGUAUGGCCAGGUUAAACGGGAAGAUUCUUUUGGCUUGUUAUGAAGUCUGACAGAUCCUUAGUUUCUCUGAGUCCAGUCCUGUCAGUCGCCAAAGCAACAAACCUUCAUCCUGCUAGAAAGCGAAACUCAUCUCACAUCCUCCUCCUCCCAAGGCCAUGGUCAAUGCUACUCAGUGGAUCAGGUGCCAGAGGAUGUUGUCAGAAAAGGACAGCUCACACCCAGUUAUGUUUGCCAGUUAGUUGCUAAAUAUAACAGGAUAAUUUUUUUAACUCAAAUGGUAAAUGGGUAUCGUUUCUCUUUACAUUUCUGAUAUCUUUCACCUUGUGUCACCUACCAAAGGAAACAUUGUAGAGUUGUACAAGUGUCUUGCUAUGAUAUUAUAUUCUAAAGACUGUAUAGAAAAAUAUUCUAUUUUUACUUCGGUAAAGUCAAUGUUGUGAUAAAGUAAAUAUUUCUUUUUAAGGUCACCUACGGUAGUCUUUAUGUUGAUCUGUUUUGUAAAAGAAAUAAAGUGCUCUUUCUAUACAU